ACAAGUUGCUGAAAACAGAAGAGGUAUCCAGUGCUUGAAAAAGUUUCAUGGUUUGUACCUCCUUUUCUAGAGAACAUGAAAACAUUUUAAGAUGAAAUUUCUUUUCUCAUUUGGUUCAAACUGAUGGAAAGGGAUAUUGGUGAUUUUUUUCCCCAUUUAAGAUCCAAGAUGAAAAGAACCAUGAGUCACAUGAUCGGAUUUAGUCUCUUCCUGCUUCACACAGCCUUUCUCUAAAUUGCUGACAAGCUUUGAGUUGGUGUUCCCACCGUUUGUGACGCGAGGGGAAGAAAGUCUAUCUUUUCUCUGGAGUCUGACCGGUAGCAGGAGGACUCGGAUUGGCCAUGCUUAGGUCACGCCUACAUCCUGAACCAAUCACUGGGUCCCUGGAUGCCCUUUGAGAGUUGGCCUGGGAUCUGUUCCUUCCCUGCUGGCCGUGAGUGGGCUGUUGGUUGGUGGGCUUCAAAUGAGCGUGGUGGCUUCACCCCCCUACAGGAGUGCAGGAAUGGAAAAAGAGCCUCCGGAAAGAAACAAACUGACAAAAAGAGGAGGGUUGCUAAGAGCACCCGGCAAACAGAACUUCAGCAACCAGAGUCGCCUCUCUCCAUUAUUAAAAAAAAAAAAUUGGGGGCACCUGGGUGGCUCAGUGGGUUAAAGCCUCUGCCUUCGGCUCAGGUCAUGAUCCCAGGGUCUUGGGAUUGAGCCCCGCAUCAGACUCUCUGCUCAGCAGGGAGCCUGCUUCCUCCUCUCUCUCUGCCUGCCUCUCUCAUGACUUGUGAUCUCUG